AUGAAGCACGAGGUGGCCGCCCUUGCCGUCGCCUGGCAGAGGUGUCGUGCCAGAUGGAUCAAGGCCGGCUUGCCGGCUAACUCGCCCGAGGUUUCCGAUAACGAGAAGGACACCACGAUGGAGAUAGGCUCCGAUGACACCGCCCCGGCGCCCUCCCCUGUGCAUGUCGGCUUCACCAUGGAGCAGGCGCAUGCACACUACAACACCGCCAUGGCGGAGGUGCAGCCUGCGCCGGCGCCUAUGUCGGCGUUCCAGCGGGCGCUGGAGCAGCACCAGCUGGCGGAGGGCCAGAUCGACGGCGAGCGCGCGAGCGAGGAGGCUGUGGCGGCCAUGGCCACGGUGAACCCCAACUUUGUCGCCGAGCAGCGUGCGCUCUACGAUGCCCUUUGCGCUCAAGCCGCCGCUCGCCAGGAAGCUGUGGACGAGAAUAAUGCCAGUUGCGCCUCCUACGCCCUGUCCAUGAACUAUCGGGCGGGCCGGUUUGACGACAAUGGCGACGGUGCCACCAUCUCCAUCGUGGACCUCACGUCUACCGGCGACGGAUAA
rnacentral:rRNA from 1 species